rnacentral:rRNA from 1 species
GCCCAGUGACAUUGUUCAACGGCCGCGGUAUCCUGACCGUGCGAAGGUAGCAUAAUCACUUGUUCUUUAAAUGGGGACUAGUAUGAAAGGCACCACGAGGGCUUUACUGUCUCCUUUCUCCAAUCAGUGAAACUGAUCUCCCUGUGAAAAAGCAGGAAUAUUAAUAUAAGACGAGAAGACCCCAUGGAGCUUUAAACCCAAUGACAACCCGAACACCCCCAACCCAUUAGAGUUUUAUAAGUACUGUCCAUUGGUUUUAGGUUGGGGUGACCGCGGAGAACAAAAUAACCUCCAUGACGAACGGGACUAACCCCUAAUCCAAGAGCCACAGCUCUAAGAAUUAACAUAUUAACGUUAACUGAUCCAAUCAAUUGAUCAACGAACCAAGUUACCCUGGGGAUAACAGCGCAAUCCAUUUUGAGAGCCCCUAUCGAAAAAUGGGUUUACGACCUCGAUGUUGGAUCAUGGUACCCAGGUGGUGCUAUGCCGCUAACUCUAAUGGUUUGUUUGUUCAACAAUUUAAAACCCUACGUGAU